CAAUGGGGGAAACCCUGNAUGCAGCGACGCCGCGNUGGAGGAAGAAGGUCUUCGCGCAUUGUAAACUCCUGUUGUUGGGGAAGAUAAUGACGGUACCCAACAAGGNAAGUGNNNAGCUAACUACGUGCCAGCAGCCGCGGUAAAACGUAGGUCACAAGCGUUGUCCGGAAUUACUGGGUGUAAAGGGAGCGCAGGCGGGAAGACAAGUUGGAAGUGAAAUCUAUGGGCUCAACCCAUAAACUGCUUUCAAAACUGUUUUUCUUGAGUAGUGCAGAGGUAAGCGGAAUUCCCGGUGUAGCGGUGGAAUGCGUAGAUAUCGGGAGGAACACCAGUGGCGAAGGCGGCCUACUGGGCACCAACUGACGCUGAGGCUCGAAAGUGUGGGUAGCAAACAGGAUUAGAUACCCUGGUAGUCCAAGGGCGAAUUC
rnacentral:rRNA from 1 species